AUCACAAGAACAAGAAGUUUCCCAUUUUCAACCCUAAAGGCCUAAUUUAUUGCCCUUUUUCAGUGUUUGUUACCUCUCUUUUUUGUGCCGGUCGUCAAUUUAUUGCACGUCCUCUUCGAUUUGAUCAUGGUAGAUUGAUGUUAAAAAGGGCCUUUGACUACAAUUAUCUCAAUCAGAGUGUUGCUGUCUUGCUGAUGAAGGCUUGUGAAUUGUGACGGCAGAAUUCUCAACGGCGUGAUUCCAUCAUUUUCGUCAAAAUUCGACUUCUCACGUACGUAAUGGCUUGCUCUAACUUGUUAUUAAAUAUAUUGAAAAUGUUUGAAACAUUGUCGAUUUAUAUAAUUGUGGUCUGAUCGGCUUAUAUGAUUGGUUAUUUUAGGAUCAAUUGCACAAGCGCGUAUAGUAACUAUAUUGAAAACUUUAAUUGUGAAA